rnacentral:rRNA from 1 species
AUUGAACGCUGGCGGCGUGCUUAACACAUGCAAGUCGAUCGGUAACGCGGGGGCAACCCUGGCGACGAGAGGCGGACGGGUGAGGAACGCUUGGGAAUCUGCCUAUCAGCGGGGGACAACACGGGGAAACUCGUGCUAUUACCGCAUACGCUCUACGGAGGAAAGCCGGGGACUGCAAGGCCUGGCCAGGCUAGCUGAGCCGAAGCCGGAUUAGCCAGAUGGCGGGGUAACGGCACACCAAGGCGACGAUCCGUAGCUGGUCUGAGAGGACGAUCAGCCACACUGGGACUGAGACACGGCCCAGACUCCUACGGGAGGCAGCAGUGGGGAAUAUUGGACAAUGGGGGAAACCCUGAUCCAGCGACGCCGCGUGGGUGAAGAAGGCCUGCGGGUUGUAAAGCCCUUUCGGUAGGGACGAAAGCUCUCGACCUAACACGUCGGGAGGUUGACUUAACCUACAAAAGAAGCACCGGCUAACUCUGUGCCAGCAGCCGCCGUAAUAC